UGAGCAAAAGGAAAUGUGAAACGAACAACAUGAUGGAAUAUGUCAUCCUCAUAGAAUUUUUACCAAAGACACCGAUUUUUCGACCAGAUUAGCAUUUGCUUUAUUUAUAGAGACUUUCCAAGUGUGUUGUCUUUCCAAUGGUGCCUUGCUUGGUGCUCUCCUGCUGGUGACAUGAUGCUGGUUCUACAGAAUUGGGUGGUGUUCUUGUUUGUUUUGUUUUUUAAAUAACCGCAUGUUCUAUGUGUGCAUAUUUGUCAAACUUUGCAAGUUAUUUCAUACAGAUGUUUAAUACUUAAGUUAUUGUGCUCUUUUCUGUUAUAUAUUCUGAUUUUCAAGGGUUACUUUUUGUAUUCUCAAAAAAAAUACAUUCGAACUUAGCAUAAAAAUGGGCAGCCUUUGUUAUUUUGUCAACAAGGUUCACACACACAGUCCUUUACUUGUUGGUCCCUUACCCUAGGAAACAUAGUAUCUGUUACAACAUGCUCAUGCACUGUUGUGGGCUUCCCUUUAGAAUUGGCCACAACAGUUGUUUGGAAACUGUAAAUUUUCUCACAUGGUCUUUUGGGCCCUGAGCUGACCUUCCCAGGAACCUCACAGUUCCGGAUCCUUUGUCUCAGUAGAUACAGCUUAGCCUCAUGAAGAACUAGCAGCCGUUUUGAAAAUACCUGUCUUCAAAAGUGGUAAUUUCUUUAGCGUAGACACAUCACAAAUGGUGUGCGUGUUCCUACGGUUACUAGAGUUCAGGCUCAGCAUAGCGUGGCUUCAGGCUCCUGAGUUCCAGUGGACAGGGCAGUGAGGAAGCUGUGCUCCAGCUAGUGUCUACUUACCUACAGAAGUAGAGCAUUGUUCUUAAAGUUAAAGGUAAAACGUGCCCGAUCUAACAUAAUUGUAGAAUGGAUGUGUUUCUGAAUAGUUUGGAAAGAAAAAGUUCUAGAAUUAAAAAUCAUCUGAUAUUUGAUACCCCACUGGUAUAUAGUUAUGUAGAGCAGGUAGUUACUAAGAAAUAGAGGGGACAUUUAAUACUAUUUUCAGUCUUCCCAUUCACUUUCAUCUAGUUACAUACUUAAUUUUAUUGAAAAUUGGAUAUUUAAGUUCAGAUCAGGUUAGCUUAUUGCUUUUAAAUAUACACAUACAUGUAUUUUUUUCUGCUUGGUUGUACAUAUCUCCACACUAUAGAUUUCUGAAUGACCUAUGUGUAGACUUUGGGUUUUAUAAGCCUAAAAUUAUACACAUUUUAAUGUGUGUCAAGAACUUGUUCCAUACCAUUGUGGUCUAGAGCAAUAAUAUGAAUAACGUUUGAAAUUAUAUAAACUAUGCUUAAUAAUUUGUAAAAAGAAUUGAUACUUCCCCUUGUAUUAAACCUUUUAAAUACC
rnacentral:lncRNA from 1 species